UUCGAUGGUAGGAUAGAGGCCUACCAGUGGUUUUAACGGGUAACGGGGAAUUAGGGUUCGAUUCCGGAAAGGGGAGCCUGAGAAACUGGUACCACAUCCAAGGAAGGCAGCAGGCGCGCAAAAUUACCCAAUCCCGAUACGGGAGGUAGUGACAAUAAAUAACAAUACAGGGCUUUCUAGUCUUGUAAUUUGGAAUGAGUACAAUUUAAAUCCCUUAACGAGGAACAA
rnacentral:rRNA from 1 species